rnacentral:tRNA from 1 species
GCGGGCGUGGUUCAAUGGUAGAACACCAGCCUUCCAAGCUGGAUACGUGGGUUCGAUUCCCAUCGCCCGCUCCA